GAUGAACGCUGGCGGCGUGCUUAACACAUGCAAGUCGAACGAUGAAGCCGAGCUGGUUGGGUGUAUUAGUGGCGAACGGGUGAGUAACACGUGAGUAACAUGCCCUUGACUAUGGGAUAAGCCAGGGAAACUGGGCCUAACACUGGAUAUGACUUCUCAGCGUAUGGUGGGGGGUGGAGAGACUUAUUGGUCUUGGAUGGACUCGCGGCCUAUCAGCUUGUUGGUGAGGUACUGGAUCACCAAGGCGACGACGGGUAGCCGGCCUGGAAGGGUGACCGGCCACACUGGGACUGAGACACGGCCCAGACUCCUACGGGAGGCAGCAGUGGGGAAUAUUGCACAAUGGGCGCAAGCCUGAUGCAGCGACGCCGCGUGAGGGAUGACGGCCUUCGGGUUGUAAACCUCUUUCCGUAGGGAAGAAGCGAGAGUGACGGUACCUGAAGAAGAAGCGCCGGCUAACUACGUG
rnacentral:rRNA from 1 species